GCAAGUCGAGCGCUCCCUUCGGAGGGAGCGGCGGACGGGUGAGUAACGCGUGGGAACAUACCCUUUUCUACGGAAUAGCCUCGGGAAACUGAGAGUAAUACCGUAUAAGCCCUUCGGGGGAAAGAUUUAUCGGGGAAGGAUUGGCCCGCGUUAGAUUAGAUAGUUGGUGGGGUAAUGGCCUACCAAGUCUACGAUCUAUAGCUGGUUUUAGAGGACGAUC
rnacentral:rRNA from 1 species